rnacentral:rRNA from 1 species
GAUGAACGCUAUCUACAGGCUUAACACAUGCAAGUCGAGGGGCAGCAUUUUAGUUUGCUUGCAAACUGAAGAUGGCGACCGGCGCACGGGUGAGUAACACGUAUCCAACCUGCCGAUAACUCCGGAAUAGCCUUUCGAAAGAAAGAUUAAUACCGGAUAGCAUACGAAUAUCGCAUGAUAUUUUUAUUAAAGAAUUUCGGUUAUCGAUGGGGAUGCGUUCCAUUAGUUUGUUGGCGGGGUAACGGCCCACCAAGACUACGAUGGAUAGGGGUUCUGAGAGGAAGGUCCCCCACAUUGGAACUGAGACACGGUCCAAACUCCUACGGGAGGCAGCAGUGAGGAAUAUUGGUCAAUGGGCGAGAGCCUGAACCAGCCAAGUAGCGUGAAGGAUGAAGGCUCUAUGGGUCGUAAACUUCUUUUAUAUGGGAAUAAAGUUUUCCACGUGUGGAAUUUUGUACGUACCAUAUGAAUAAGGAUCGGCUAACUCCGUGCCAGCAGCCGCGGUAAUACGGAGGAUCCGAGCGUUAUCCGGAUUUAUUGGGUUUAAAGGGAGCGUAAGUGGAUUGUUAAGUCAGUUGUGAAAGUUUGCGGCUCAACCGUAAAAUUGCAGUUGAAACUGGCAGUCUUGAGUACAGUAGAGGUGGGCGGAAUUCGUGGUGUAGCGGUGAAAUGCUUAGAUAUCACGAAGAACUCCGAUUGCGAAGGCAGCUCACUAGACUGUCACUGACACUGAUGCUCGAAAGUGUGGGUAUCAAACAGGAUUAGAUACCCUGGUAGUCCACACAGUAAACGAUGAAUACUCGCUGUUUGCGAUAUACAGUAAGCGGCCAAGCGAAAGCAUUAAGUAUUCCACCUGGGGAGUACGCCGGCAACGGUGAAACUCAAAGGAAUUGACGGGGGCCCGCACAAGCGGAGGAACAUGUGGUUUAAUUCGAUGAUACGCGAGGAACCUUACCCGGGCUUAAAUUGCAACAGAAUAUAUUGGAAACAGUAUAGCCGUAAGGCUGUUGUGAAGGUGCUGCAUGGUUGUCGUCAGCUCGUGCCGUGAGGUGUCGGCUUAAGUGCCAUAACGAGCGCAACCCUUAUCUUUAGUUACUAACAGGUUAUGCUGAGGACUCUAGAGAGACUGCCGUCGUAAGAUGUGAGGAAGGUGGGGAUGACGUCAAAUCAGCACGGCCCUUACGUCCGGGGCUACACACGUGUUACAAUGGGGGGUACAGAAGGCGGCUACCUGGUGACAGGAUGCUAAUCCCAAAAACCUCUCUCAGUUCGGAUCGAAGUCUGCAACCCGACUUCGUGAAGCUGGAUUCGCUAGUAAUCGCGCAUCAGCCAUGGCGCGGUGAAUACGUUCCCGGGCCUUGUACACACCGCCCGUCAAGCCAUGAAAGCCGGGGGUACCUGAAGUACGUAACCGCAAGGAGCGUCCUAGGGUAAAACUGGUAAUUGGGGCUAAGUCG